AAAAAGCAGAGUUUUCCAAGGACACUCUAUAGACUUGUCCAGUGGAAAUUAUAACCUCUAUAAAAUUUUUUGUGAUCAAAUUUUGUUUUCUCAGGCCUGUUUUGUCAGAUCAUGGUCUUGGGUAGAACUACUGGAGUCACUGAUCUACUAGGGUGGCAUUCCUAACUAGAAUUACAUUGAAGGCAUUGCAGUAAUUCUGUCAGGCUGCCAGAAGCAUGGAACUGUUGCCCAGGAAGGUAACAUGAUUUGUACAGACCAGUCCGGGAGAACAGUGGCAUCAGGAGAAACAGACUAGAGGCCAUCAGAGCUGCAGGUAAAUGUCUGAGCAAUUCAGUGACAGAUUUUCCACAGUCCUUCUGAUCCUUACAGGAGCACUCAAGGAGCUAAGAUCCUGUGCAGUGCAAACACAUUAGUGGAGUCCUCACUGAUCACCUAAACAUAUUGACAAAUACCUACCAUGUUCUGCCACAAGUAUCUUUUUACAAUACUCUGACUUAAAACAACUCCUUUGGAUUAAAGCUUGGAUUAUUUGUACUAUUUCAUAUGUUAAAAAAUAUAAUUUGAGAUGGGAAUUGUGUGCAUAUGCAGUCGGAUAAUACAGAUAUGCAAUCCGUCAGUCAGAAAGUUCUCAAGUUGUACAGAUUGGUUCAGCUGCUGGGUCCAAGGCAUUGUUUUGUUCAUGCUGGUAUUUUGAGAUUCUUAAGUGAACAGAAAUUGAGCUCACAGUAAUGGUUUGCAGUCAAGUGGGGAAUGUAAGUUUCUUUUUCCUCACUUGCAGGACAGUUUAAGUCAUGAAAGAGGCUGCAUUUACAAAGAGAGGUGCAAGAAAGUUGUUAGUACUCUAUAAAUCAGGCAAGAGAAUCAAACCAAAUUAAUCAAAUUAGGAAACUCCCAUUUCUUUUGUUUCUCUGCUUAUGCUACAGUAUUAUAGUAAUCACAACAGAAGUAGUAAUGACAAUUUUAUACAAGGGAAAAUUAAAGUGAAAAUCUGCACACAUUUUUAAAAAGGGGCCUAUUUGAAAUUGUAAAAUCAGCCUGAAGUUUGAAGAUGAACCAGUUUUAGCUUUCAUAUUUUUCAGAUUCUGUACUGCAUUAGUUGUGUAACUCUGAACUUCAUAUAAAGUGUAAGUCCUCCUCACAGUUUAGUCAGACAAAACAAUCCUUUUCCAGUCUAAGAACCAUGGCUACUUCAGGCCCCCAAACAGUAUUAACGAAAGCAAAACUAGGUGAAUGUGAUUUCAUUACCUGAAGCUGUAACUGGACAAUUAACCCCAAUAUGCAAAUGGACCAAACUUAUGAAAUCAUGAAAACUUGUGACCCAUUGUUUAUCUUGGGUACAGCCCCAGCCAGGCUCUUGUGCUGCCCAAGGUGCAUCCUUUGAAGGCCUUUUUAAUAAAUACCUACUAUAUUCCUUUAACUCUGUCUAGCCUCUGUUAUAGGCAAUCUCUCUAGACAUCACAAGUAACAGUAACAUUUCCUGCAAACACCUUGCAGGGCACUUCUGCAAUGCUGGGAAUACUCUAAAAAUGACAUUAUGUUAUAGUGGUUUGCUUUGUGCUUCUGUAUAAUGAGCCUCAAAUUAAUAAAUCCCCAAAUUAAUAAAAAAUAAUAAUUCAGAGCAAAUAAAAAUUAGAAUAUCUUUUCAGUUGGGUGUUGGAUUUUUUAAAACUUGAAAUGAUUAAUUAAUAUAUUGCACUGCUAAAAGUUCUCUCAAUGACUGCAUAUGAACACUUAAUUUUUGUGAUUUUUUUAUACCCAGUACUUAGAUAUUAUUUUAAAAACUAUCUCCAUCUCAGUUUUUCUACUUGGUUGCAUAAAUAUAAAUCAGAAGUAAUGCAGCUGAAAUUAACAAAACUCCAAUUCUGUAAAACCAGCCUAAAAGAAGAAUUAACUUUUGGAACCUCUUUCUCUUUCAUUUCAUGAUAGAGUAAAACCACUGCAAAACUAUUGGAUUAACUUGAAAUCUAUGUAAUUUACAUGAAUAUGAAUAGAGAGUAGAAAAUUUUUAUUUUCAAUAGCUGUGAUAACUGUAGCCUUAUAAAAUAUAUGCUCUCCAUAACUCCUGUCCAUACAGAACUGGAGUACAUAAAUUGCAGAUUACAGUUCCAGUAGGACUGAAUCUCUGUUGCAUAGGUUACUACUACAGACCCAAGGCUAUGAUGUGCAGUCAGAUUCUUCAGUUUAAGGACUGACAUGUACAUGCUACAUGCUUAAGUUCUUAGGCAGUUGUUUUAAAACUAGUCAACAUGAUCAGUGGAUUCUAACGAAUUAUUCAACUUACCAGCCAUCAGAUAUCUAUUUCAAAAUGAGAAAAACUGAUUUUCUAGUCUGUGUUAGAUCUGCACUGGGAAAUUUAGGGGUGUGUGUGCCAAUAUAACAGGAUGGUUUACUAACAUCAAAGUGAAAUGUUUCAGAGAUGUGAGGCAGCACUGCCUCCUCCUGUUCCAGCCAGCACCAGCCUGGAUGAAAAGGCCAUUUGAAAAAGUAGAUAGAUCUUGGAGCUCAUGUACAUUCUUUUCCUCCUCUUACACACAUUACUAAUUUUUUAUCACCUUGCCCUCACCUUGUUCAGCUGCCUUAAAAACAAUGAAGUGGAGAAUUCAGAGAGAAGGCACAGAAAGGGAGAAAGAGGCUUUCAAGAAACUUCUCAGAAAUCAAGUAAAUCAAAUUGUCCCUUACAUUCUUUAGUCUCUUAUAUGAAUGAGAGAAACUGUCCCCAUACCAGGAAUGCUGAGAAAUUAUUCUUUUUCAUGUAAUAACAAAUGUUGAUGAAAGGGAAUUGGAGCAACCCUGGAUACAUCACUACAAAUCACUUUGGAAUAAAGAGUCUUAGGGAUAUUUUUUUUCAUAAUACUAAUAAUGUAUAGUGAUAUUAAUAAAAUCAAAAAUCUCUGCUUGAGAUUCCAAAAAAUAUAUGGAAUUAAAAUAUUUUUAUAGGUUAUAAAUUAAAUUUUAAUGCAUAAGAAAUGUAGAAAUUAUAGUAUGAGGACUCAAAAAACCUGAGUGUAUUGAUCCAAACUGCCUAUCCACAAACCUUCAGAUUGAAAUGGUUAAUUAUUUGUCAAUUUAUUUUUAAUAUGAUUAGUUAUUCUUGGUUGGGCUUCCUCAUCCAUUAUUUCCUGAGCCAGUACUGAAUAUUUUUAUAUUUUAUAUUUAUAUUACUGAAUAUUUAAGAAAUAUCUGUAUAUGAAGUGACAGUGCUAUCUCCUUUUUUAUUUUUUUUCCACAAUUCUAAGGAAAAGAGCUUUUAUUUAUGAUUUACUUAUGUAGGUAUUUGUUCACUAUUUCAGGCUUUAUAUCUAAUUCCACUUUCCAUAACAUUUUCUGUGAAUGUUAUCAACGAGUUUUCAGUGCUUUUCUUUCAAAUUAUUUGCUAUUUAUCUAUUUCAUAAGAAGUUUCUUAAGACUGUGAUCUAAAGUCACACUACCAAUAGAAAAAAAAAUUACCUUUUUUACUUGUUUAUAAAAAUUCUGCAUUACUAAAUCUAAGUGUUUAGGUUUAUUCUUGUCUGAAUGGCUGUUAACUAACUUAAUCUUUUAGAUUCAUCUGCUUUUCUUCAAGAUAUAAUUUAGCAAGCAGAACAACACUCUGUUCUCCACUCAGACUGACGAGUUCACUAAGGAAACUGUACAACAGCCAGUGUAAUUGCUUUCUCUAACAUUUCAAAGGAUGAGAGAACAUACUGGAAACUUUAGGUCAUGUCUUAUCCUGCUAUCAGCAGCAUGCAGACCCCAUGCACAGAACAGCCUUAUUGGCCAUGGCUAUUUGGCGAAGCCUAAUCUCAUUCUAUGAUUUUAGAGAUCUACUUAUUUGAUGCCUCUCUUUUCCCUGAUUGUGGUGAUGGAUGCCAUACUGCACUCAAGAAUGAUGAAUUUGUUUCAGGUCUCUGAAGAAUCAAUGGUUAUGUCUUUUAUCUAAAGCUGAUUCCACCUGCCAGGGCUUUCUACAUAAAUGUUCUGUAUCACCUUGCUGACACUAAGAUUCAAUUUAUCAGGAAAGGCCUUUUGUAGUCUGAACAUCUGUAAAGCCAAUGGAUAUUUUCCAUGGCUCUGACAAUGUUUGUAUUUCACAUUUAGAGAAUAUCCUUCACAAGGAUCAUUUCAUCAGGCACUUUUAAAAGAAUUGCACAUGAUCACCACAGAAGCUCCAUUCAGUCCACCUUGUUUGGGUUUAAUCUUAACUGUGUCAACAAUUCAGUUCUAACUGAUCCAAGACUAUAUCAUGGUUUGUGUCUCCUGAUGUGAAAGGAUAUGAAAAAUCUCAUCCAUGUCUCUCUAUGUCAGAUUUAAGAUACAAAUUUCAGAGGAGGUGAAAAUUUGUCCAAAUAUUGUACAGAAGUUUCCCCCUGUUUUCAACACUGGCACAAUCCCAGAGUCUCUUUUUUUUGCCUUCAGAUUAGCUUCAUUUUAUAAAUAAAGUUGUUCUGUAUAUAAAAGAAACUGAUUUGCUGCACCAAUACAAUGUGGGUUUAAUCAGUUUUUAACUGAUUUGCUGCACCAAUAUAAUAUGGUUUAUUAGGCUACAAAAUCAUAGACAAAAUAAUGGCUAUGUUGUUCAGAUUGGAGAUUAAAGUUCUCUUUCCUUUCUUAUGAUAAACCCAAUGACAUGGAUAUUUUGUGAAUGUAUUUGCCCUCAGCAAUUUCCUAUUUUAAACUCAUAAAUACAGUAUACUGUAUAAGAAAAACAAAACAAAAAUAAAAACCACCAACUUGUCCCUGUGCCAUAUAGUACAUAUAUAAUACACAGGGUUCUGUGGAGGUCACCUGAAGUACAUGACCCAUUUUGAAUUCCUUUAGUUUGCAUGAUUUUGUCAGGCUUAAGCUGAUGAUUCUGACAAUAUUUCUCAGCUUCCUGAGCUGAACAUUUAAAACUGGCUUCCUACUGCUUUUCAUACUGAUGCUAGCUUUCAACUUGAUGAAGUGAAGUCAUAAUUAAACAAAAAACAUCCCAUAGAUAAUUAUAAAAUAUCACUCAGCCUAUCAUUUGAGCUGCCUGCAGGCAUUUUAGAUGCUUGUUUUUAUUUGUGUUAUGUGGCUUUUCUAUAAUACUAAUGGCUUUAUUUUUCCUGUACAUCUUUCUCUAAUUCCUCUCAGAUGAUGUCAGUUUAUGAUACUAGUUUAAUUCUCUCAGAUGUCUUUCCAGGACUCAGUGACCUCACUCUGCAGGACCGGACAUUUGGAAUGUACAAGUGUGCAGUAAAAUUCCUGCCUCUUGGUAUCAGCUCUCCCGAGGUGCUUUCUGCAAGUCCAAAUCUGUGAGAGAAGAAAGUGCAGUGAUGCCAGAAAGCUAGUCUGAAGUGCCUGAUGAUUCUCAGAAGCUAUUUUUCUUGUGGGGUCAUUCAAUUAUGUCUGAAAUCAGUUCAGUGAAUCAUUUUGGUUUGCAAGUAUAAAAAUAGAAAAUAUUUUGAAAUUGAGGGUUGUACUCAAACUGUAAUUUGAAGAAUGGUUCCAACUGUGGAUCUGGGGGCUGUUCCAUUUUAACGUAAAUGCUGAGACUGCAGACUUAUGUCAAGACCUCCCCGCUGAAAACUUCAAAGACAUUCCUUCCAGGCAGAGAGUUUAUUCUAGAAGAGUGGAAGUUCCUCCGUGAGGUUCAAAGGGUCAUUGCUAGAAAACUCAUUAUCUGUAGGGACUAGUGACUUGGGUAAAAAUCUGAAAAAUACUAUUAAUAUUGUCCAUGCUCAUAAGGUUACAGGAUGUGGGCAUUGGUCAAGAAAUUGAAUAAGGGGUAGAAAAUUUCUGGGGGGAGGAAGAGGGAGUGGGAUGAGAUGUGUGAAUGUGUUUACAGUAUAGAGAAAGAGAUUUUUCAAGUAUGGCAAAUUUUUUUUAUUCAAAGCAUCUAAACUUGAUCUCAAAGCCAAACCAAGACUAGUGUCAAAUUUUUUUUAAAGAGCUAUCAAGGAAUGAGGGAAAACUUCUUGUUGUUGGGAACAAAUCCAGAAGUGGUGGAAAGUCAUCCAAGUAUAUAGUCACUAAAUUUUCUUUCUCCUGUACUUUCUCCUGUACAGAGACAGAUAUCAGGAGGUAAGAUGCCUGGUGUGACAAGACUGGAAGAAUGAAGUUGAGGUUUUGCUUUGAUGAUGCUGAAGAACACUUGAAAACAAUUGAUGUAUGCAAAUUUCUGCAUCUUUUUCUGCAUCUAAUUAAUUAAGCACAUCUAUUUCCCUUGGGAGCCAACUGUCAAUGCUGAUAAAUAAAUAAUACACCUGAUUUUUCAUGCUGUCCAGUAUCUCUCAUUUCUAUGUAUUUUUAUAAUUAUAUAUAUAAACAUGAUUUUUCAAGCGCCAAUUCCAGUUGCUAGGUUUUAAAAGUCCUAUGAAGACAGGUAAAAACUAAUGUUUUUGUAGGAAAGACAUGUUCUUUUCUGUUUUCAAAAAAAUAUAACCUGUGCAUACAGUGCUUCUCUUUUAUGCUUCUGAAAGAUUUUAUUCCAUAUGCAUAUUUUUGUUCCAUAGGAAUUAUUUUUAGAAAAUAAAAGUGCCUUGAAUGUUUUGUGUGCACUCUAGACAUGUAUUGUUUUUGCACAAUCUGGUUCUUGGUAGCAGGUUGGAAGCUGCUGGAAGCUUCUACCAUGUUCAGUAGAGCCAAUCCUUGAUGGCCCUGAAGAUGGACAUGUUGCCAGCCAAAAGUGGGUCAAUGAGAGAGGCUGGUAAUGUCUCUGUGAUGAUAUAUUGAAGAUGAAAAUCAAAACAAAGUUGCAUGGUAUUUCUUCUAGUCAGAGAAGAGGAGGAGGUGAGAACAUGCAAGGGAAAACAACAUGGAGACACCAAGGUCAGUGCAGAAGGAGGGGCAAGAGGUGCUCCAGGUGCUGAGAUUCCUCUGCAGGAUGUGUUGAUAACUAUGGUGAAGCAGCUGUGCCCUUGCAGCCCAUGGGGAUCCACAGGGAAUGCAGAGAUUCACCCUCAGGCUGUGGGGGAGGUACCCAUGCCAGAAGAAGAUGGAUGCCUGGAGAAAGCUGUGAUCCUGUGGGAGACCUGGUGGAGAGAGAGAAUUUCUGCUUACAGGCUGGAGCAGCCUGUCCUUAGAGGACUGCACCCCACAUAAGAGUGACCUAUGCCACAGCAGUUUGGGUGGACUGUCUGCUCGUGGGAGGGAGUUCAUGCUGCAGCAGGUGCAGUUUGGCUGCUGCUUGUGAGUGGACCAUGCGGAAGAAGUUCAGAGGGAAAUGUCUCACAUGGGAGGGACCCCAUGGUCUUACGGGGGAAGGAUUCCUCUCCCUGAGCAGCAGAAGAAAAUCUCAUGAUGAACUGACCAAAACCCCCAUGC